UCAGGAUGAACGCUAGCUACAGGCUUAACACAUGCAAGUCGAGGGGCAGCAUAUCGAAAGCUUGCUUUGAUGAUGGCGACCGGCGCACGGGUGAGUAACGCGUAUCCAACCUUCCCUAUACUAGAGGAUAGCCCGGCGAAUGUCGGAUUAAUAUUCUAUGUUCUUCGUAGAAGACCUCUGAAAUGAAGCAAAGGUUUACCGGUAUAGGAUGGGGAUGCGUCUGAUUAGGUUGUUGGCGGGUAACGGCCCACCAAGCCCACGAUCAGUAGGGGUUCUGAGAGGAAGGUCCCCCACAUUGGAACUGAGACACGGUCCAAACUCCUACGGGAGGCAGCAGUGAGGAAUAUUGGUCAAUGGACGAGAGUCUGAACCAGCCAAGUAGCGUGCAAGGAUGACGGCCCUAUGGGUUGUAAACUGCUUUUAUACAGGGAUAAAGUGCACUACGUGUAGUGUUUUGUAGGUACUGUAUGAAUAAGGACCGGCUAAUUCCGUGCCAGCAGCAGC
rnacentral:rRNA from 1 species